UGAGGAAUAUUGGACAAUGGGUGAGAGCCUGAUCCAGCCAUCCCGCGUGCAGGAAGAAUGCCUUAUGGGUUGUAAACUGCUUUUAUACAGGAAUAAACCACUUUACGUGUAAGGUGUUGAAGGUACUGUAUGAAUAAGCAUCGGCUAACUCCGUGCCAGCAGCCGCGGUAAUACGGAGGAUGCAAGCGUUAUCCGGAUUUAUUGGGUUUAAAGGGUCCGUAGGCGGGCAUAUAAGUCAGAGGUGAAAUCCGACAGCUUAACUGUCGAACUGCCUUUGAAACUGUAUGUCUUGAGUGAGAUUGAAGCAGCUGGAAUGUGUAGUGUAGCGGUGAAAUGCAUAGAUAUUACACAGAACACCGAUAGCGUAGGCAGGUUGCUAAGUCUUUACUGACGCUGAUGG
rnacentral:rRNA from 1 species